rnacentral:rRNA from 1 species
CCUACGGGUGGCUGCAGUCGAGAAUCUUCCGCAAUGGACGAAAGUCUGACGGAGCGACGCCGCGUGAUGGAUGAAGUCCCUCUGGGACGUAAACAUCUUUUAUCGGGGAGAAAGUAAUUGAUAGUACCCGAGGAAUAAGGGGUUGCUAAACUCGUGCCAGCAGCAGCGGUAAUACUAGUGCCCCAAGCGUUAUCCGGAAUCAUUGGGCGUAAAGGGUGUGUAGGUGGUUGUGUUAGUCUCCUGUAAAAUUCUUCGGCUUAACCGGGGUCCUGCAGGGGAAACGGCACAACUAGAGGGUGCGAGGGGUGAAUGGAACUCAUGGAGUAGGGGUGAAAUCCGUUGAUAUCAUGGGGAACACCAAAAGCGAAGGCAAUUCACUGGCGCAUUCCUGACACUGAAACACGAAAGCGUGGGUAGCGAACGGGAUUAGAUACCCUGGU